AUACAAGCAAUCGGACAUAAAGUCGUACAGCUGAGCGAGGGAGGAAGUAUUUUCAUCCUCAUUCAGGUAAGAAAACUGAAGACAAGAAAAGCAUAAAUAGUGGCAAGAGCCCUGGGUUUCCAGUCAAGAGAGUGGAAUUUAAGUCUCCCAGGACUCUGUGCAAAUGGCAACAGCUGGUUAUUUCUCUACAAAAGAAUCACUUUCUCUACGGCUAUGUGGCCCAAGCAGACUGCGAAGAGGAGCAUUCUGCUCAUCAAGAAAGGCCAACAGAGACAGCAAGAGAGCAGAAGCGGAGGACUGGGGCUCCAGUAAGUGGAUCCUGCACCCCUUGCCAGUGGAAGACAUCCGACAGCUAGCUGUGGAAACCCCUCCACACCCUCGUCAGCACGAGCCAGGAUGGUGAGAGCCCCAGCAGCGCCAAACCAGGCAGAUGAAAAUAACACUGUGAAGGUUCUGAAAAUUAAACUGCUGUCGGAAGCAUCCCCCACAAAUUAGGCCAAAGGCUGACUUCUAAACCUAAAAGACUUUAACAGGACCCAAAGUAUUAUAACAUAAUAGAAAAAAAUGUCCAGAACACCAUCAAAAAUCACCUAUAACACCCAAAGCCAAGAAAAUCACAACUUCAAUGAGAAAAGACACUCAACUGAUGCCAUACCAGGGUGAACGCCAUACCGUAUGAUGCCAUUUCAUAGGAUGAAUCAGACAUUGGAAUUAUGCAAUUGUAUGACAAGGAUUUUAAAGAAGUAGUUUAAAAAAAUUCUUCAAAAUUCAAUUACCAAUUCUCUUGAGACAAAUGAAAAAAUAGAAAACCUUAACAAAGAAAUGGAAGUUAUAUAUAAAAAAAGAGCCAAAAGGAAGUUAAGAAACUGGAAAAUACAAUAGCAGAAAUUUUUAAAAAUCUCACUGAUGAGCUCAAUAGUAGAGUGGAAAUGCCUUAUUAAUCAAGACUGUGUGGCGUUAGUGAAUGGAUAGACACGUAGAUCAAUGCAACAAAAUAAAGAUCCUAGAAAUAGGCCCACACAAAUGUGCUCAAUUGAUUUUCGACGAAUGUGAAAAGUGAGUUUAAUGGAGGAAAGAAAACUCUUUAAUCCCAUGGUGCUGGAGCACGUGGGCAACCGUAGGACAAAUAAACAAAAAUUACCUUAACCUAGCCUUCACACAGUAUAUGAAAACUGACUCAAAAUUGAUCAUAGAUUUUAAAUAUAAAACUAUAAAACUUAAGGCCAAAAAAAAAAAACGGAGAAAAUCUUUGGGAUGUAAAGCUAGUCUGAGAGUUCUUAGACUUGACGCCAAUAGCACGUUCCAAAAAAGAACAAAUUGGCUAAAUCAGACUGCAUCAAAAUUUUAAAAAGUUUGUUAAGAGCCCAUGAAGAAGAAGA
ensembl:lncRNA